AGGCGGGACCGCGACGCGCGGGAUGAGAAGGAGUGGAGCAGUCGGGGCGCUCACGUCAGAGACAGAGUCUCGCUCCAUAGCCCAGGCUGCAAUGCAGUGAUGUGAUCAUAGCUUGCUGCAGCCUCAAUCUCCUGGGCUCAACCGAUCAUGCUGCCUUAGCCUCCCCUGUUACAGAGACAAGGUCAUACUAUGUUGCGCAGGCUGGUCUCGAACUCCUAGCCUUGAUCCUCCUGCUUCAGCUUCCCAAAGUGCUGGGAUUACAAGCAUGAGCCACUGUGCCCAGCUGUAUACUGGAUAUCUGAGACUUGGUACCAAAAAAAAAAUAAUUAAGAAAAGACAGGGUCUUGCUUUGUCACCCAGGCUGAAGUGCAAUGGCACAACCAUGGCUCACUGCAGCGUCAAACUCCUGGGCUCAAGUGAUCCUUCCAACUCAACCUCCUAAGUAGCUGGGACUACAG